CAGAAUUACAACAGACCAAUUUAGAAAAAAAAACACUUCUUACUUGAUGUCGUCAGAACUCGCAGAAGUAUCCUAGUGUUGAUAUUAAAAAUUUUACAACGUCUUGGUCAAACGGCUUAGCAUUUAAUGCAAUCUUACACAAAUGGAAAUUUCACUUGUUUGACUUUAAUAAUAUUGCGCGUAAAUAUUCAAAUGCUAGAUUGGAUCAUGCUUUUCGGCUGGCACAAGAACAGGAUAUUAAACGUCUUUUAGAUCUCAAAGAUGUCAAUACCUGUCUCUUAUACA